CUGGAUCCCCCAAUUGGUUUACUCCAAGGAAUAUGUUUAAUACUGUUCAGAAGAAGAGAAGGAAAGAAAAGCAAAAAGAACAGAGGAAAAGAAAGCCAGAGGCAAGGAAUAAAAAAGUCCUAUACAAAAAGACUCCACCACGAAGAAGAUUGAGAGGCACAAGGAAAAUCAACCCUGAGAAGUAAAUACUGUUGCUGUCAUCCCCAUUUUACAAAUGAGGAAACAAAAAUAGAGAAAUGAAGCAAUUUGUUCAAGAUCACUCUGCUAGCAAGCAACAGAACCAGGAGUUUAACCCAGGUAAAUGUGCUGUUAUCCCCAUAGCAUAGACACCUCUGGACUUCUGAAACAGAAUCCUGUGACCACCGUGGAUGAAACAUAGACUCUCAUUAAGCUGCAGUUCCAAUGCCUGAGUAACGUGAAUUGCUUCUAUGAUAAGGCAUUAUUUAGCCUUUGCCUGAAACAGCCCUAAUGAGAAGGAUCUCGCCACCUCAUGGCACGGUCCAUUUCAUUUUCAGAAGCUUUCUUUGUAAUCUGUGCUUAUAAAAUUGUUA
rnacentral:lncRNA from 1 species